AUGUGUGAUAUUUUGAAUGGGCUUCAGUCUCAAGCGUUUGAAAUAAACAAAAGGCUCUUGAGAUUUCUGGAAAAGAAUCGUCAAUGUUUAGUUGAGUGUGGGCUUCUUUUACCAAAUGCUCUGGCUCGCGUGAAUCCGACAGAAGCCUCAGACAUAUUGAGGGAGUGCUACUUCAAUAACGUCAAAGGUAUUAAUAAUGCUUGUAGCUACAACAUACUGUUAAAUAAAUUAUUAAAACAGGUGCAGCAGGCUAGUUAUGAAGAUUUUGUAAUAAGACUUGCGUCAGCAUACGAAGGUUAUCAAUUCUAUUUGCCAGCAUUCAUGGACUUCCGUGGUAGAAUCUACCGUUCAGGUGUAUUGCAUUUUCAUGAGCGUGAUUUGUCAAAAAGUUUAUUACUCUUUUCUGCCGAUCAUCCUCAACCUCAAGCACAAAACCACCUGUCGGAAAAAAGAAUCUCAGUCAACACUUAG
rnacentral:rRNA from 1 species